AGAACACAGCAUUAUUUUAUAUGAACAUUUCUAUAAAAUGACAUAAUGUGCACACUUGACAUUUUAAAACUAAAAAAAUCUUUAAAUCGAUAUAGUGAUCCAGGAUGUAGAUAUCUUGAGUUUGGUGAGCCAGGUCUCCAUAUAUGAGUUGUUUUCAACGUGACUGGAAUUAACAGGUUAGACAGUAUGAACUCUUUCGGAGUUCCUACUACACGCUACUGUCUCACGUUUAGUGGUGCUUUGUAUGUCAUUGGGAGCAAAAACAACCUCCAUUAUUACUUUUGAUGACAAUUUUUACAAACACUUUAAUUUUUACAGGAAUUAACAUCUCAUUUUUUCUCAAACUCCCAAAUCCCUAUUUUUAUAACUUACUGUGAAAGUCCAAAAGGAAAUGAAAAGCUAAAGGAUGUAUUAAAAAAUACAGUUGAUUUUUGAACAACACAGGUUUGAACUGUAUGGGUCCACUUAUAUGCAGAUUUUUUUUUUCAAUAAAAGUUACACCCAGAAUGCCUGCCUCUCCUGCCUCUCCCUCUACUUCUUCCACCUCUGCCACUACUGAGACAACAAGACCAAUCCCUCCUUUUUUUGCUCCUUCCCAGCCUACUCACGUGAAGAUAAUGAGGAUGAAGACCUUUACGGUGAUCCACUUCCACUUAAUAAAUACUCCACUGAAGGCAUGGCUGACGUGGCUGCAGAAGAUCUUCAGGCAUGCAAAUCCCUAUGCCCAGCACAUUUCCGUGGACCCCUUCUGCUCCCUUGACAAUACUUGCUCCUUCCUACUCCACUCUUCACCUGGAUGGCCCUUCCCUUCAGGAUUCAGCUUGGGCCCAACUUCGCCUGGAUUAUCCUGCUCCUGUUUCCUCAGGAGCCAGCCGGAUGUGAACUCAAUAAGGGCAGAGAUUGUCCUCUUGUUGACUGAGGUAUGGCUGCUGCCUAGUGAACCUGGUUGCUGGAAGAGAAGCCACAUUUUGAGGAAGAUAAAACUAAUGAUGACCUGA
ensembl:lncRNA